rnacentral:miRNA from 1 species
AGAAAGAGCAUGUUAAAAUUAGUAAAAUUGCAAAGUUUGGCCGCGAAAUGUUGUAAAAUGAGGAAAAUAUAGCCCUGCCAAAUUUUGCAAUUUUACUAAUUUUAACAUGCUCUUUCU